UAAUACGUAGGAACCGAGCGUUGUCCGAAUUUACUGGGCGUAAGGAGCGCGUAGGUGGUUCGUUAAGUCUCAUGUGUAAUCUCCCGGCUCAACUGGGAGGGGUCAUGGGAUACUGGCAGACUUGAGGGUAGCAGAGGAAAGCGGAAUUCCCGGAGUAGUGGUGAAAUGCGUAGAUACCGGGAGGAACACCAGAGGCGAAGGCGGCUUUCUGGGCUAUUCCUGACACUGAGGCGCGAAAGCGUGGGGAGCGAACCGGAUUAGAUACCCGGGUAGUCCACGCCCUAAACGAUGGAUACUAGAUAUUGGGGGUAUAGACCCCCUCAGUGUCGAAGCUAACGCGAUAAGUAUCCCGCCUGGGGAGUACGGCCGCAAGGCUA
rnacentral:rRNA from 1 species